UGCCAGCCGCCGCGGUAAUUCGGAGGGGGCUAGCGUUGUUCGGAAUUACUGGGCGUAAAGCGCACGUAGGCGGACUAUUAAGUCAGGGGUGAAAUCCCGGGGCUCAACCCCGGAACUGCCUCUGAUACUGGUAGUCUUGAGUUCGAGAGAGGUGAGUGGAAUUCCGAGUGUAGAGGUGAAAUUCGUAGAUAUUCGGAGGAACACCAGAGGCGAAGGCGGCCACCUGGCAAGACAUUGACGCUGAGGCGCGAAGGCGUGGGUAGCGAACGGGAUUAGAUA
rnacentral:rRNA from 1 species